rnacentral:rRNA from 1 species
GACGAACCGUCCAAACGUUAUUCGGAAUUAUUGGGCUUAAAGGGUGCGUAGGCUGUGCAGUAAGUUGGGUGUGAAAUCCCUCGCUCAACCGAGGAACUGCGCCGAAUACUGCUGUGCUAGAGGAAGAUAGGGGUAAGCGGAACUGAUGGUGUAGCGGUAGAAAUGCGUAGAUAUCUGGAGGAACACCGGUGGCGAAGGCGGCAUCCGUGGAUCCGGCAUUGACGCUGAUAGAGCGAAAGGCCAGGGGAGCAAAGCGGGGUAUUAA